UACGUAGGGUGCAAGCGUUAAUCGGAAUUACUGGGCGUAAAGCGUGCGCAGGCGGUUCGGAAAGAAAGAUGUGAAAUCCCAGGGCUUAACCUUGGAACUGCAUUUUUAACUACCGAGCUAGAGUGUGUCAGAGGGAGGUGGAAUUCCGCGUGUAGCAGUGAAAUGCGUAGAUAUGCGGAGGAACACCGAUGGCGGAGGCAGCCUCCUGGGAUAACACUGACGCUCAUGCACGAAAGCGUGGGGAGCAAACAGG
rnacentral:rRNA from 1 species